UUCAGGGGUAAACCUGAGAAACCCGAAAGGUCGAAAGGGGAAAUUCAUUCGCGUUUCGGCGAUCGGAGCGAGACGGUCGAGCGACGGACGGCGCUUGCGUCGUCCGCGCCUUUCGUUUCGCGUCCGGCGUCGAACGCGUGCACUUUUCCCCUAGUAGGACGUCGCGAUCCGUUGGGCGUCGGUUUAAGGCCCGUGGUGGAGCCCGGGCGAGCGUUUCGGCGUCUCGCUCGGACCCGCGGUGUCCCGGCCGACCCGCUCGACGGUAUACAGAUGGCGCGGGGCCGCUGCUCGACAGCGUUCGGCCCGCGGCAAGCGCGUCCGGUGUUGACGGCGAUCGGACCUGGUGCCGGUCCUGUCCCCGGACGACUGUUGGCCGCGGUGUUCUCGGACAGACCUCGAUUUUUACGCCGAUCUGCGACGCUAUAGCUUUGGGUACUUUCAGGACCCACGGACCAAGGAGUCUAGCAUGUGCGCGAGUCAUUGGGACAUAACUAAACCUAAAGGCGCAAUGAAAGUGAAGGUUCGCCUCGCGCGAACCGAGGGAAGAUGGGCGUGCCGUACUUUCGUGCGGCCGCUCCGCACUCCCGGGGCGUCUCGUUCUCAUCGCGAGAAGAGGCGCACCAAGAGC
rnacentral:rRNA from 1 species